GUAACGCCCGGGGACUUCCGAUAAAAUUGGAACAAUACAAAGAAGAUUAGCAUGACCCCUACGCAAGGAUGACACGCACAAAUCGAGAAAUUGUCCAAAUUUUU